GGUAUGUGUUAUGAUCCAAAGUUUAAUAACAAUAAUUGGUGGUAUCAUUGCUGUUUCAACCGGCAAAACUUCCGAUAAUAUUUAUAUAGAAAAUAUUGUAGAAGGCAUACUAGAACUUGGCAUUGGAAUAGCCAUUUUCUGGUUCAGUUUGUCUUUGUAUAAACAAAUACGUAGUGAAACUGUUAGAAAACCUAGAAGUGCUGCCGUGGGUUAUUAGUUUCGUUCGUGUGACUGAGCUAUAUUUGCAAAAUAAAUCUUGAAUUUGAUAUUAUUUACAUA